GGGGCUGUGGCGGAACUGGCAGACGCGCUAGAUUUAGGAUCUAGUUUCGAAAGAAGUGCAGGUUCGAUUCCUGUCAGCCCCA
rnacentral:tRNA from 1 species